CGAUAGGCGGCUUUGGGGUCGCCCCAGGAGUCCAGCUGCGAGAGACCAAUGGGAUUUGAAAAUGGCCUUGAUGAUUCAGACGGCCGUGACGUCAGCGGGGUCAAGUUGUCGGCAGGCGGAGCGCGCAUCGUGGAGUAACAGCGCCACCUAGCAGCUGCCUCGGGGGAAGAUUCCUGGAGAGAAAAAGGGAAUCCGCGGAGCCUCGGCCAGUUUGGAGGAGUCACGGAUCACACGGGAAACCAGGACACAAAACGCGACAAAAUCCGACCCAGAGAAGUGUUUACACAGCGAAUGGGCUGGGAGCAUUUUUGAAAGAAGAAAGACCAGUCUAUUUUUGUUGUUUUUUAAUAAGGGGAAGAAAUAAAGGGAAAUGUAUGUUCCAAAUAGUUCUUUCCGUUUCUCCAUCGCCUUUCUUCCAAAGCGAACUAAACUCUCCACCCCUUCCUCAGGAAACGGAAUCCGGAGAAAAACUUGUCUUUCCGGUCGCCCCGCAUUUUUCCCUGGAUAGAGCCUCCGGUUUCGACUUUCUGAGGGGCUGGAUGCUGGCGGGGAGCGCACUGAAGCCGGAGCGCCCCGGCGAGGAGGAGUGAGGAGGCUAGAUCGCUUCAAGGGAGGCCCAAGCCGGCGCGGCUAGAAGACUGCGGAAAGAAAUCCGCCGAGUUCCCCAAUCCAAGGGUGGCGAGAAGGCGCAAGGGUUUCUGAACCUCCGGAAAACUGGAAGGAAAUGUGGAGUAUGUGACUUGCUUGCAGGACCGGCCAGGGGAGAUUUGAAAUGGUUUUGUGUUUUCAUUUGCAGGGGUCGCCGUGGCCUCAGCAUGGGGGUUGUCCAGGGCAAGGUUAGGCUGUUUAGGCCCCAGACAAGACUUGGGACAGCCCGGGCAGCAGUCAAUCCAGGGAGCCAUUUGUCCCACCGCCCAUCCCGCGGGAAACGGCCGA